GGGCGGGGCGGGGUCUGGGAGGUAGUUUUUUGUAAAGCUACAGAAAAUAGGAAAGAGACUUCAUCUCAAUGAUUUAGAAGACUUUAGAAGACUCUAAAAAUAAUCUACAGGAGGACCCAAGAGAUCCAACACGCUGGACUCCUCUAUAGGAUAUCAAAAGGUCUGCAAGUCUGCUGGAACCUGGAACACAGCAGCCCUCCUGCCCAGCCACCCCAUUCCUGAGCUUCCUCUCCAUGCAAGAGUCCACUUGUAAAACAAACAACGGGCUGGGAGUUGUGUCUCCCCUUCACCACCAGUAAGUACUUCAUGCAGGUAGAAAAGCCAGAGGAGGAAAAGGUAUUGAAACACAGUAGAAAAAACAAAUGAACAAAUGGAAAUAAUGAGUUGAACUCAGAGGCUCCCAGCUUCAGGAAUCAUUUCUGACACUUG
rnacentral:lncRNA from 10 species